AUAUUAGAGCAAAUUAUCUUAGAGAUAUAAUUAAUAGACAAAAGGAUAGUGAAACUAAAAAGUACCAAUAUUAUCUUUUACAAAUGGCCUUCUACUUACUUUAUUGGACCAUAAAUAAGGCAAAAUAAAGUAGAUUAGAAAAAUAAAGAAUAUGAGGAUUUGUAGGAAGAAGUUAGGAAUUGAUUUUAAUAAAAUUUAACUCAAAAGAAAAAAUAUUUGAUACUUGAGGAGGGCCAAUUAUCAACCUAGGUCGAAAUCAAAUCCCAAGACACAAAACCA
rnacentral:lncRNA from 1 species